AGCUCCAAUAGCGUAUAUUAAAGUUGUUGCAGUUAAAAAGCUCGUAGUUGGAUUUGUGGAUGAGUUGACUGGUCCGGCACUUGUGCCGGUUCUGGUCCACUUGUCCAUCCUUGGGUGGAAUCUGUGUGGCAUUAAGUUGUCGCGCAGGGGAUGCCCAUCUUUUACUGUGAAAAAAAUAGAGUGUUCAAAGCAGGCUUAUGCCGUUGAAUAUAUUAGCAUGGAAUAAUGAGAUAGGACCUUGGUACUAUUUUGUUGGUUUGCGCACCGAGGUAAUGAUUAAUAGGGACAGUUGGGGGUAUUCGUAUUCCAAUGUCAGAGGUGAAAUUCUUGGAUUUUUGGAAGACGAACUACUGCGAAAGCAUUUACCAAGGAUGUUUUCAUUAAUCAAGAACGAAAGUAC
rnacentral:rRNA from 1 species